rnacentral:rRNA from 1 species
GACGAACGCUGGCGGCGUGCUUAACACAUGCAAGUCGAGGGAGGCCACCCUUCGGGGUGAGUCGACCGGCGGACGGGUGAGUAACACGUGACCAACCUACCUUCGGGAGGGGGACAACCUGGGGAAACCCGGGCUAAUACCGCAUGAUGUGCCAUGGUCGCAUGACCUAGGCACCAAACGGGGGCCUCUGCUUGCAAGCUCCCGCCUGAAGAGGGGGUCGCGGCGUACCAGCUAGUUGGUAGGGUAACGGCCUACCAAGGCGACGACGCGUAGCGGGUCUGAGAGGACGACCCGCCACAUUGGGACUGAGAUACGGCCCAGACUCCUACGGGAGGCAGCAGUGGGGAAUAUUGCGCAAUGGCCGAAAGGCUGACGCAGCGACGCCGUGUGUGGGAGGAAGCCCUUCGGGUGUAAACCACUGUCAGGGGGGAAGAAACUCGGCUGGACAAACAGCCCAGUCGAUUGACGGUACCUCCAAAGGAAGCGCCGGCUAACUCCGUGCCAGCAGCCGCGGUAAGACGGAGGGCGCG